UCAUUGCUGUUUACCUGUUUGUUUUGUUGGUUGUUUCGGUUUCACUUUCAUUAAAAGAUGUGGAACUACAUGCACCCCGAGCCUUGGUUGAUUUAUGACGGGGAGUUUGAGGAUAGCGACCGUGACAUAUCCAUUGUCAUUUUUGACCAUAGACCUUUAGCCCUCGACAUAGUCCUAUCAGGACAAACUCGUACUCCUCUCUGGAGAUUCAAUUCUCUUCUCCUGUCUGAUUGCAGUCUUCUGUAACGUUAUCUCCACUUCUAUUGAUCAUUUCAUUUUUUUCCAAUCAGACUCAAGCUCAACCUCACGUUCUCUCUUAUGGGAAUCACUUAAGGCUCUAUCUUAGAGGAUGAGUUAUGUAUUAUUCUUCUCAUUUAAUCAAAACUCAGAAAGCUUAACUAGAAGGAGUCACUAAAGCCAUUCUUAACUCAGACCAUCAAUAUGCCCCGACGCCAUCUCCAGAGCUAAUAUAAAAUCUGAAUUCAGUCUCUUGUCCACUACAGAUGCAGAACUAUUGCAUUCAUGUGGUGUACCUACUAUGAACAUGGCGACAGGGCAAGUCGUCCGCUCGCACACCAAUUAAAACGCAGUGCUGCCACCCGUCUGAUUCCCCAAAUUAAAGAUUCCACUCAGCUUGAUUUCUGACCCUACGGGGAUCAAUGACACCUUCAAAUCUUUGUAUUCCUCCCUGGGGCGGCAGGGUAGCCUAGUGGUUAGAGCGUUGGACUAGAAACCGGAAGGUUGCAAGUACAAAUCCCCAAGCUGACAAGGUUCUGUCUUUCUGGCCCUGAACAGGCAGUUAACCCACUGUUCCUAGGCUGUCAUUGAAAAUAAGAAUUUGUUAUUAACUGACUUGCCUGGUUAAAUAAAGGUAUAUGUCUGAAUUUCCAUCAGAUACUGCCAAUAUGACUAUAAAUUUGUGUGAACUAGAGACUCCCACAGUUGCAACUGCAGAUUACCUUGAUUCUCCUCUCAGCAUUGAAGAAGUUAUUCCGCCUAUCAAUUCAAUGCAGAGCAGCAAGGCUCCAGGGCCUGAUGGGUUUCCAGCUGAGUUCUUUAAGAAAGUCUAUACCAAGUUGGCCCCUUUACUUUUAUCUAUCACUUGAACGUGGCUCAUUGCCACCUACCCUAACACAGACUUCAAUAGCGCUUCUCCUUAAAAAGGGGAUAGACCCCACUUCCUGUUCUUCAUUUAGGCCACUAAGUCUCCUUAGUGUGGAUGUAAAGGGGCUAGCGAGGUGUCUGGAAGUAGUCUUACCAGGACUCAUAUCACAGGAACAAACCGGCUUAAAAAAUGAAAGAUAUUCACUUGUUUAACAUUCGUACGCUGUUUAACAUUAUAUUUUCUAAACAAUUCUCCAACUCCCCUGAGGUGGUAAUCUCCCUAGAUGCAGAGAAGGCAUUCAACAGAAUUGAGAGGGAGUACCUAUUUGCUGUUCUUAAAAAAAUGUGGAUUUGGAGACAAAUUUAGCUAAAGGAUCCGUCUCUUGUAUACAUCUCCCCAGGCCAGUGUCUCUAAUAAUGACACCAGAUCUGAUUACUUUGUCCUGGAAAGUGGGAAAUGCCAAGGCUGCCCACUGUCCCCUUUAUUGUUCGCCCUCGCCAUUGAGCCCCUUUCACUUCGCUUUGCGGACAUCCUCUUCUUUCCAAGGUGUAACACGGGAAGGAGUUGAACAUUAUAUGCAGAUGAUUUGUUACACUAUGUAAAUAACCCUGUAACCUGUUUACCUUCUAUCCUUUCUAUUCUGGAUAACUUUGGCUCCUUCUCUGGUUACAAGCUGAAUCUUCCCAAUCAAUCCAGCAGUGGUCCAGCAGACAGACAGCAAAUAGGAUUUCACAUGGUUGGGCCUGGGAGGGCAUAGGACUACCCACAUGAGAGCCAGGCCCAACCACUGGGGAGCCAGGUCAAACCGCUGGGGAGCCAGGCCCAACCACUGGGGAGCCAGGUCAAACCGCUGGGGAGCCAGGCCCAACCACUGGGGAGCCAGGCCCAACCGCUAGGGAGCCAGGUCAAACCGCUAGGGAGCCAGGCCCAACCACUGGGGAGCCAGGCCCAACCGCUAGGGAGCCAGGCCCAACCACUGGGGAGCCAGGCCCAACCACUGGGGAGCCAGGCCCAACUGCUAGGGAGCCAGGCCCAACCGCUGGGGAGCCAGGCCCAACCGCUAGGGGAGCCAAGCUCAACCGCUUGGGGAGCCAGGCCCAACCGCUGGGGAGCCAGGCCCAACCGCUGGGGAGCCAGGCCCAACCGCUAGGGAGCCAGGCCCAACCGCCAGGGAGCCAGGCCCAACCAAUCAGAAGGAGUUUUUCCCCACAAAAGGACUUUAGUACUGACAGAAAUACUCCUCAGCAGCCCCCCUCUCCCCUCUGACGAUCCCCAGGCGAAGAAGCCGGAUGAUGAGGUCCUGGUCUGCGGUUGUGAGGCCGGUUGGAUGUACUGCCAUAUUCUCUAUAACAACGUUGGAGGCGGCUUAUGGUAGAUAAAUUAACAUUCCAUUACUUGGCAACCGCUCUGGUGGACGAUCCUGCAGUCAGCAUGCCAACUGCACGUGCUUUCAAAACUUGAGACAUCUGUGGCAUUGUUUUGUGACAAAACUGCACAUUUUAGAGAGGCCUUUUAUUGUCCCCAUCACAAGGUGCGCCUGUGUAAUCUUGCUGUUUAAUCAGCUUCUUGAUAUGCCACACCUGACAGGUGUAUGGAUUAUCUCGAUGAAGGAGAAAUGCUCACUAACAGGGAUGUAAACAAAUUUGUGCAUAAAAUUUGAGAGAAAUACGCCUUUGUGCGUAUGGGAAAUGUAUGGAAUCUUUUAUUUCAGCUCAUGAAACACGGGACCAACACUUUACAUGUUACGUUGAUAUUUUUUGUCCAGUAUAUAUGGGUCGGCAGGUAGCCUAGCAGUAUAGAGCGUUGGGCCUGUAACCGAAAGGUGACUACAUGAAAAAUCAGCCGAUGUGCCCUUAAGCAAGGCACUUAACCUGGACAAGAAUGUCUGCUAAAUGGAAAAAAUGUAAAUAUUCAUUUAUAUUUAAACAAUGUAUCAAAUUGGUUGCAUAUUGAAAGCCAAUUGAUUACAGUAUGUAAUAAACUUAAGGUUAAU
ensembl:lncRNA